rnacentral:rRNA from 1 species
AUGGCGGCGAGAGCAAGAACGGUGGCCGCCAUGUCCAGCAACAGCAGCAUCCUCCUGGCCGCGGCGGUGGCACUGGCACUGCUGGUGUCGUCGGCGUCGGCGCAGUCCGGUUGCACGGCGGCGCUGGUCGGCCUAUACCCGUGCAUGAACUACAUCAGCGGCAACGACACGGCGCCGACCAAGUCCUGCUGCUCGCAGCUCGGCUCCGUCGUGCAGUCCCAGCCGCAGUGCCUCUGCAGCGCACUUGGCGGCGACUCGUCGUCGCUCGGUGGCAUGACCAUCAACAAGACGCGCGCUCUCGAGCUCCCCAAUGCGUGCAGCGUGCAGACCCCGCCGGCGAGCAAGUGCAACGGCGCUGGAGGUGGCAGUGCUCCGGGCGCUGGCUCAGGAUCGAAGACGACGCCGACGGCGUACUUGCAGGGGAGCGGCGGGUCGUCGUUACAUGGCACGGCGCGUCUGGUGCUCGCGCUCUCGGCUGCUGCGAUCUUCGUCGUGUCCACCGUGUGA